rfam:Kuraishia capsulata CBS 1993 genomic scaffold, Kuraishia_capsulata_scaffold_3
GGAUCUUUGGCCGAGUGGUCUAAGGCGUCCGACUCAAGAUCGGAUCUCGAAAGAGGCAGGAGUUCGAACCUCCUAGGAUCCA